GAUGAAGAACGUAGCGAAAUGCGAUACGUAAUGUGAAUUGCAGAAUUCAGUGAAUCAUCGAAUCUUUGAACGCAUAUUGCGCUCUUUGGUAUUCCGAAGAGCAUGCUUGUUUGAGUAUCAGUAAACACCUCAAAGCUUUUGGAUUUUUUAAUCGAAAAGCUUUGGACUUGAGCAAUCCCAACACCAAUCUUUUUGAGAUCGGUGGCGGGUUGCUUGAAAUGCAGGUGCAGCUGGACAUUCUCCUGAGCUAAAAGCAUAUUCAUUUAGUCCCGUCAAACGGAUUAUUACUUUUGCUGCAGCUAACAUAAAGGGAGUUUGACCGUAUUGGCUGACUGAUGCAGGAUUUCACAAGGGUCGGCAACGAUUCUUGUUAAACUCGAUCUCAAAUCAAGUAAGACUACCCGCUGAACUUAAGCAUAUCAUUAAGCGGAGGA
rnacentral:misc_RNA from 1 species